CAGUUUUUAAAUCCAUUGAUAUGGUGAAUUACAUUAAUAGCUUCUUAAUACUGAACCAUAUAUGCACUACUGAAAUGAACAUUGAAGGUAAUUAAUAAUGCAAGAAAAUUUCCCAUAACUGAAAGACAUGUGUUUCUAGCUUGAAAGGCCCUAGUGAGUGUCUAGUUAAAUAAGUACUUUUUAACCCAUGUGUGGUGGCUCUUGCUUGUAAUCCCAGCUACUCAGGGGGCUAAAGUGGGAGGAUUGCUUAAGCCCAGGAGUUCGUGACCUGGCUGGGCAACAUAACGAGUCCCCCAUCCUUAAACAAACAAACAAAUAAAUAAUUUUAAAAGCCCACUCCAAAGCACUUUAUAGGGAAAUUUCUGAAUAUUAGACACGAAAUGCCUUUCACAUAUCCAUUUUACAGAAAGCUGCUAGAUGUUCCCCACUACAGUGAAGGAUUAAACAAAGAAUGAAGAAGAAGUAGGACUCAAGAAGUAAAUGAUCCAACUCAAGAAAGAGAUGACCAAGUGGAAUACCUUUUAAAGGCUUCAAGACUUUUCUUUCCCACUCCUCCCUGCCCAUGCGAGGGAGGCUCCAUUUUAAAAUGUAACACACACACACAAAAAAACGGAUUUGAAAUAAGGCAUUAGCCUGAGGUAACUUACCCCCACCUUGGCUCCAGAGCAGCUUGGAUUUCCGAUUCUUUGAGCAGGUCAGUGAUUUGGGGAACCAGUAAAAGAGCCGGGCUAUUCUUCUGAAGGUCUCAUGAAAGUCACUUCUUAUGGCCAUAGCGAGAACCAGGAGUGUUCCAGAAUGACUCGCUACAGAGAGCAUGGAUGAGGAGCACAGUAACACCCACAUAUGACACUUUAGCUGUGAACUGCCUUUCAGCCAAUAUGUCUGGGGACCACCUGUUAGCCCUAAAUCCCCUUCCUCUGUCAUUCUUUUGGCUUGUCCUUUAGACCUUGGCCCUCAUAACUAGAAACUGUAUUAAUAGAUGUUCUUUCUAAAGAAAGAGUUUUAAGCUUUCUUAAGAGAAGCUCUAACCUAAUGCAACACUUGGUAAUUUUCAAGCAUGGACCUCCUGACCUCGUUCAUAAAAACACAAUUUUUUCAUAGAGGAGUGAAAAAAAACAGGAUCCACUAACUCAACUUCCAACAGAAUUGUCAGUGGUAAUUUGCAGGACUUAGUGGUGAUGGACAAGCAAUCUCCUAAAGCCAUAGCCUUGAUCCCAUUUGUUUUGUGCAUUUUUACUGGAAAAAUGAAACCUAUUUGAAACUUUAGCAGGAAUUUAUCCCAGAAAAAAAAAAAUUAGUUCUUAUGAGUCAAAAAAUGUGUAAAAGGGCCAGGCACAGGGGCUCACACCUGUAAUCCCAGCACUUUGGGAGGCUGAGGUGGGAGGAUUGCUUGAGCCCAGGAGUUCAAGACCAGCCGAGCCAACAAAGCGAAAUGCUGUCUCUAGAAAAAGGAAAAAAAAAGCUGGGCAUGGUGGCACGUACCUAUAGUCCCAGCUACUCAGGAGGCUGAGGUGGGAGGACUGCUAGAAUCCAGAAGAUGGAAGCUGCAGUGAGCUAUGAUAGCACUACUGCACUCCAGCCUGGGUGACAGAGCAAGACUCUUCAAAAAAAAAAAAAAGAUGCAAAAGACCAUUUUCCCCCAGGGUCCUAUUUUGAUCUUUAACCAUUUAUUGAACAAUUCUCUAGAACUUCUAACAUUGUAACAUUACUGAAUCCAUUUCAGCAUUUCAGCAGACAUCAAUGCCUAGUUGUCUACCACGCAGCUUGUACUGAGGUUCCCCAUCAUCACUCCUAAGACUAUGUCUAACAGUUGGUCCUUGUGCAUUCUGUUUAUGUCAAAAGAAAUAAACUUAUUCAUAUAUUCAUUUAGGAGCUAAGUCGAUUAAACAGCCUGAUGUAAUAUUUGGGCUUGCUUUUUAUAUGCCACAGCAAAUUUUUGGAGCUGAUUUACUCUCUAAAGAGAAACAACGGAUAUUAUUAUAUUGCCAGUUUUUAUUUCCAGAUCAGAUGUUUUUGUUUCCUAUUCCAUUUUCAGUAUUUCUUAGGAAUUUGGACUUUGAUUCUUCUUACAAGUGACAAGUGGGGAGCAAGUCUAACUAAAACAACAGUGUAAGAGUUUUUCAGGUCUUCUUAAAAGUGGGAUGUGGGGUGGAGAAUCCAGCUAAAAUAGUAAAGAUUUCUUUCAAUGUUUUUCCCUUCAACUAUGUGUGUCUGCCCCAGCACUUCUCAGUUUCAAAAAUUUGUUUGAGUAAUUAUAAAUUUUCUGCAGCACUUCCUCAAAGACAAAGCACAACAUAUAAAACACAUCGGAGUGAGGUGAAAUUAGAAACAAAAGACUAGCUCUUGGCCGGGUGCGGUGGCUCAUGCCUGUAAUCCCAGCACUUUGGGAGGCUGAGGCAGGCGGAUAACCUGAGGUCAGGAGUUUGAGACCAGCCUGACCAACAUGGUGAAACCCCGUCUCUAAUAAAAAUACAAAAAUUAGCCG
rnacentral:lncRNA from 10 species